UACGGAGGGAGCUAGCGUUGUUCGGAAAUACUGGGCGUAAAGCGCACGUAGGCGGCGCAGCAAGUCAGGGGUGAAAUCCCGGGGCUCAACCCCGGAACUGCCUUUGAUACUGGGUAUCUCGAGUCCGAGAGAGGUGAGUGGAAUUCCGAGUGUAGAGGUGAAAUUCGUAGAUAUUCGGAGGAACACCAGUGGCGAAGGCGGCUCACUGGCUCGGUACUGACGCUGAGGUGCGAAAGCGUGGGGAGCAAACAGG
rnacentral:rRNA from 1 species